rnacentral:rRNA from 1 species
GUAGGGAAUAUUGCACAAUGGAGGAAACUCUGAUGCAGCGACGCCGCGUGAGUGAUGAAGGCCUUCGGGUCGUAAAGCUCUGUCGCAGGGGAAUAACACAAUGAAGGUACCCUGUAAGAAAGGAUCGGCUAACUUCGUGCCAGCAGCCGCGGUAAGACGAGGGAUCCUAGCGUUGUUCGGAAUCAUUGGGCGUAAAGCGGAUGUAGGUGGCUAUGUAAGUCAGAUGUGAAAGCCUGGGGCUCAACACCAGAAGUGCAUUUGAUACUGCGUAGCUUGAGUGUCGGAGAGGUUACUAGAAUUGUUGGUGUAGUGGUGAAAUACGUAGAUAUCAACAGGAAUACCGGAGGCGAAGGCGGGUAACUGGCCGAACACUGACACUGAGAUCCGAAAGCGUGGGGAUCAAACAGGAUUAGAAACCCCGGUAGUCC